rfam:Loxodonta africana unplaced genomic scaffold scaffold_143, whole genome shotgun sequence.
CCAUGGAUAGUGUAGCUGGUAGAGCAUCAGACUUUUAAUCUGAGGGUCCAGGGUUCAAGUCCCUGUUCAGGCA